rnacentral:rRNA from 1 species
AUUGAACGCUGGCGGCAGGCCUAACACAUGCAAGUCGAACGAGUGGCGGACGGGUGAGUAAUGUAUGGGAAACUGCCCGAUGGAGGGGGAUAACUACUGGAAACGGUAGCUAAUACCGCAUACUAUCGGAUGUGCCCAUAUGGGAUUGGCUAGUUGGUGGGGUAACGGCGAACCAAGGCGACGAUCUCUAGCUGGUCUGAGAGGCUGAUCAGCCACACUGGAACUGAGACACGGUCCAGACUCCUACGGGAGGCAGCAGUGGGGAAUAUUGCACAAUGGGCGCAAGCCUGAUGCAGCCAUGCCGCGUGUAUGAAGAAGGCCUUAGGGUUGUAAAGUACUUUCAGCGGGGAGGCGUUACCCGCAGAAGAAGCACCGGCUAACUCCGUGCCAGCAGCCGCGGUAAUUC